AUUGAACGCUGGCGGCAGGCCUAACACAUGCAAGUCGAACGAGUGGCGGACGGGUGAGUAAUGUCUGGGAAACUGCCUGAUGGAGGGGGAUAACUACUGGAAACGGUAGCUAAUACCGCAUACCAUCAGAUGUGCCCAGCUGGGAUUAGCUAUUUGGUUGGGUACCGGCUCACCAAGGCGCCGAUCCCUAGCUGGUCUGAGAGGAUGACCAGCCACACUGGAACUGAGACACGGCCCAUACUCCUACGGGAGGCAGCAGUGGGGAAUAUUGCCCAAUGGGCGCAAGCCUGAUGCAUCCGUGCCGCGUGUAUGAAGAAGGCCUUCGGGUUGGAAAGUACUUUCAGCGGGGAGGCGUUACCCGCAGAAGAAGCACCGGCUAACUCCGUGCCAGCCGCCGCGGUAAUUC
rnacentral:rRNA from 1 species